rnacentral:pre_miRNA from 1 species
AGCCUUCUGUAUCCGUGUUGAGAUUUCGUCACACACCAGACCACAAGGGCUGAUGAGACUCCCAAUAUUCAGUAGUCU